CGAAAAAGGGACCGGCAGUAGGCGGUGCGACUCUCCUGCAGCAGAAACACCCAACAUGAACUGGUGGAGUAGGAGAGAAUCCCCGUUGUAGGGUUUGGGGAUGUGGCGGUGGAAGCGGCGGUGGAAUCCCGGCCAGCCGCGGAAGUCGUCGAUGCAGAGGAUGAGGGUGUCGGGGAGGGAUAGGUUGCGGGUGAUGGCGGCCAUGUGGAGGGCAGAGGCGCCAAGGAAGGUCCCGAGCUCGAUGAUGGUG
rnacentral:misc_RNA from 1 species